rnacentral:tRNA from 1 species
UGGGAUGUAGCUCAGUGGUAGAGCACUUUUUUCUAGUACUCAUGAGGCCCUGGGUUUAAUUCCCAGCACUACAA